UGGAUGAAAACCUGGAGGUUUGAUACUGUCCCAUAGACUGCCAAAUAAAUAACAGUGUCAAGGUCUGUCCAGGAGGCUGUGGGAUCCUGUAUCUCCACACACUUAUGUUUGCGGACAACAUUUCAUAUCAGGCAGCCAAAUAAACAACAGACUUCACCCCAAUUUUGUUCUGUAAAUUUCCCCCCACCGAAGACUGUGGCAACACAAUUAAGUCCUUUUCAUAACACAAUAAUAAGAGCAUCACAUUCGACAAAGGGCGAUACAAAAUGCAAGAAAACCAGAGAGACGUCAGUGUGUGAUGGUCCUCCUGCUGCUUUGUGUGAUUCGUCAAUGGCAGUAUGUGAACGGUCUAGCGGUGAAGAUGGAGAGACCUCCGCAGGUCAGCCUGAUGUCUUGGCGGUUGGAUUUGAAAGACCCUUGGGAGAGAGAUAAAGGGCUCAGAUGAUGGCAGAGAUUGCCGUGUAAAUUCAUAUAAAUGAAACACCAUCAUUAAACUAAAGUAUCUACUCUUCACAGCACAGACAGGCUAAACAUUAUUGAACAAUAUUAUCUCAAUAAUAAUGUAUUGCAUGACAUCUCAAGCUUGAUUAGAAAGCAGGACACUAUGAAACCUUAAACAUACAGUUUAAGUUAUGUAAGUUUCCACAACUCCAAUAUUUUACAAACAAUCAUGAUCAUAGUGUUAUUUUAGAUAGAUAACUGUUGGGCUGUCUUAGUGUAUGUCCGUUAUCAACUAGCCCAGGCUACCUGCCAACAUCCUCCAUAUCUUGCUGUUAUGGAAAUAUCAUGAAUUACUUUUGAAGCUAUCGAAAGCUAAGCCAGGCUAGACAGAAAAGUGCACUUAGCACUCUAAAUAUAAAGACAAAAUAUAUACAUUUAAAGAUGUUUACUUUCAAAUACGAAGUAAAAUCAUUCACUGGCUUACCUGGUGACUCGGUGAGGUACGAGUAAAUGUCCGAGUAAGACAGCUCUGGCCACUGGGUGGUGUUGUUAAUUACACCAAUUUGACGCUGGGAGAAUCAAGGGACAAGUUUGUGGAUGUAUCUUUCACGCUAUAUGGCAGGCAGGGUGGACAUAUAAUUACUUGACAAUCUUAGUGAUUUCUUAAGUUAAUCACGCCUGCCGGCUGUGUACGGACGUUGCAUUGUGCCGCUAUUUUGUACUGAAGUCUAUGGGAAGUCUAGUUUAUUUUUCUCCUAAAAAGGGGCGGUGACGAAAUCGACAGUUAAGUUCCCGGAUGUGCCGGUAGCACGUAUGGAAAUCUGCAAAGCAAAAUGCAAUUCAGCUUCAUAAUAAUUAUGUUUAAAAACUUAUAAUGAUCCAAUAUUUACAAAUGGGGGAAACGGAUGUAAAACCAGUGCUCAAAUUAAAGGGGGGCUGGGGGGAUCCGGGACCCCCCAUAAGGCAUUAGAAAAAAUAGACCUAGGGGGGUCCCUCAGAUAUUUUUAUUUGAGUAAAAAUGAUAAUGACAAAUGUGACUAAAUUCAUGCAAUGGAUAUGGUAAAUUUUGUGAAUUAAUUAUUUACAAUAAUUUAAAUUAAGUUUGUUUAUGGGCUAGUCAUGUGUCAUGUCUCUUUAAAUUUUUAACGCCCCACCCCACGUCCGAAGACCGCUAAGCGCAGGACAUCGUUGACAUGACUGCAUGAUUUGCAACGCUCCGGUGAAGCUAACUUCAGCUAAAAAAUGGAGAAUAAUAAACCUACAUUCGCAGUCGGGAAGAGGAAGCUUCUUACUGACUUUUUUUGAGGGGUAGUUUUCUCUCUCUAUACAUCUUUCCACUAUAUUUAUCAACUCCAUGUUGGGGCUUUUGUAUUUCUUGCGUAAAUUAUUAUUAGGUCUGGUUCUUGGGUGCUAGAGAUCUCAAUGGAGAUGAGUGACAGCUUUUUAGUAAUUAUAAAGGGAUUGCUCGUUGUGCGGUUUCUGUGCUCUAUAUAUAUAUAUAUAUAUAUAUAUAUAUAUAUAUAUAUAUAUAUAUAUAUAUAUAUAUAUAUAUAUAUAUAUAUAUAUAUAUAUAUAUAUAAUCCAUUCAGAAUUGUAUAAAACUUGUUUUUCAUGCUGCUGAGACCAACGGCCACAUACACGCGGGAAUUACAUCGGCAUAUAAACGCGGGAUUCACUCUUGAAAUUGACAUAUUGAUAGCCAUAGUUAGUUCCUGAAUAAAGCAGACUUUUGGACUGAAAUGGUUGAAUAGUCCAAGUAGGGGUAACUGCAGCCUGGAGCAAUGGGCGUGCCAAAAGGUUUCUCAUUGGUGAAACGAAAGGUAGGGGGCGUGCCAAAAGGUAAUGUGAAAGCUGGCUGUUAAAAAAGGAAAACAUAAAUUCAACAUAAUCCUAUAAAACCAAAUGUAAUUCUUCCAAGGUAAAAACGGCGUUAAGGAUAUUAAGAAAAUUAUUUUACAUUACUUUUGAAAGUACCUUCAAAACUUCAUGGCGCGGGUUACUGACGUCAUCACCGCUGCAAGUUUAGGCCUUGAUUGGCCUUGAUGACCAAACUCUUUGUCUGAAUAGAAAGCUGUGAAGACCCCCUUCUUUCCAUGGCCACAGUAUCUACAGCCAUCACACCUGCUGAGCUCCAAGUCCACUCUGUAUGUCUUCCUCACAUCUGGACUGACAGACUUCCAGUCAACCAUACCUACACAAGAGAAAACACAAAUGUUAGAUUCAAACAAGAAGUAACCAAUAAGUAGAAUAAAAUAUAAAAUAAAAAAAGACUGCAAGUGUUGUCACUAGUGGAAGCGCAAGAGUCUGAGAGUGCAAGUCUGCAGCCAGACCUUUCUCCGUUAUAUUAUAAUACAACUGUACUGCUGACUCUUCACUGAGUACCAAAAGUACAUAUGCUUCCUGUGCAUGGUUUCUAAAAGAAUGGAAUCACAAAAAAAGUGGACUGGCACUCAUCUAUACCACAGGUUAUACUAAUUUUUGGUUCAUGUGCAUGUACAACUCCAACAUGUUGGAUUAACUUCAAAAGAGUGAAUGUCCUUCGAGUGCACUUUGUGUAAUGGUACAGUUGAGGCAUGAGGAUCUAAUACAAAAGGCUGAUCAUUCAGAGGAAAGUUACUGGCAGUGCUCCAUCUUCUAAUGUUGAGAAUGUGUCUCUGAAGGAAAGUCAGUGUCUUUCUCAGGUGUGUUGGCUAUGCAAUGUUGAAUGCAGAAUACACCCAGAAGGCUGUUAUGAAGGCUUCAUCAAGGCUGGUGCACUGGCACACGUCUAUUCCAUCUUCUGUCACCACACUGAGCCCUCUUCCUAUGAUUGCCAUUUUACAGUCAGUAUCCAUCAGCUGUAUGGUAGGAAAGGGUGUAGCAGGGUCCCCCUACAUAAAAACUAAAUAAAUAAUAAUAAUUAUAAUAAAGAGAAAAUAAAAAUGAAAACACUUUUCAAAUUUAUCAGAUUCUGUUCCAUCCUCUUUGGCUCAGACAGUGUAGCUACAUACAGUGCAGAACUGCAAAAACUAUUAGAAGGCAAAUGUAUAAGGGUCACAAUAUACGAUGCAUUUCAUAUUCUUGUAUACACUGAUAAAUCUUACAUUGUUUUCUAAAACUAUUUUUUUUUUUUCUAACAGAUGGGUUAAAAGGGUACAGAAGAAUAAAAUAUUACAUGAAAAGAUUUGAAACAAGAUAUUUUACAGUUGAUGAUUUUUUUUUUUUACUAUACUCACUCCAGCAGGUGUCCUUAAGAAUGGGUGUUUUACAUCCUCCACAGACAUUCCUUCCAUGCUUUCUCCACGUCUCCUGGAGAAUGUUCGUGCCGUGUGGUCUUUGACAGUAAAGAACAAGGUGCUUUAGAUAUAAAAAAAAAUAAAAACAUUAAGAUGAUGGUCAGGCAGUGAAAAAGUGGAGAACAUGCAAAAAAAAAAAAGGUUUCAAUUUUUGUAGUACAGUAUCUUCCUUACAUGGACCUGCACUAAGUGAAUAUGUAAAAUUGAUUAACAGUACAGAAAUAAAUUAUGCAUAUGGCAGUGUGCUUACAUAUGCUACAAUAACCUGCAAGUGGUGCAUGUUCUGCUUUAAAUUUCCGGUUUAGGUGUCAGGUGUGCUUAAAACACAAAUUUGACUGAUUUUCAUUUUCCAGCAAAUAGAGAUUACAAUAUAUUGUUACUACAAUAUUGUGUGUGAUUAUGUUGAUAGAGAUAAAUCAAUGGAUUAAAAACAAUGUAACUUACACAGUCAUUUCCUUUUAUAUUUCUCUGGAAAGGGUACUUCACAACCAGUGUUGGCAACUUGAAUAUACUCUGCAUUAGUUGGAUACCUAGUUGGAUACCUUUUUUUUUUAUUUUGUCUAAUCGUCUUCAUAGAUUGUGAACUGAUCUUAGUUCAGUUGUAAUAGCAGAGGUGAUA
ensembl:lncRNA